rnacentral:snRNA from 1 species
AUACUUACCUGGCAGGGGAGAUAUCAUGAUCAUGAAGGUGGUUCACCUUACAAUUUUCAUGAAAAAAAUAUGACUUUGUCUCUGCCUGNN